AUUGAACGCUGGCGGCAUGCCUUACACAUGCAAGUCGAACGGUAACGGGCCUUCGGGUGCCGACGAGUGGCGAACGGGUGAGUAAUGCAUCGGGAACGUACCUUUCAGUGGGGGAUAACGUAGCGAAAGUUACGCUAAUACCGCAUAUUCUGUGAGCAGGAAAGCAGGGGAUCGCAAGACCUUGCGCUGAUUGAGCGGCCGAUGUCAGAUUAGCUAGUUGGUGAGGUAAAGGCUCACCAAGGCGACGAUCUGUAGCGGGUCUGAGAGGAUGAUCCGCCACACUGGAACUGAGACACGGUCCAGACUCCUACGGGAGGCAGCAGUGGGGAAUUUUGGGACAAUGGGGGGCAACCCUGAUCCAGCCAUGCCGCGUGAGUGAAGAAGGCC
rnacentral:rRNA from 1 species